rnacentral:lncRNA from 1 species
CCGUUCUGAGGUUAACCCGUCUCUCGAAUUUGCCUUCUCGUGUUGAUUCCACCUUCAGUUUUACUCUCUUUCUUACUAAUUGUGAGAGAGCAGAGAGAGAUGGCGUUGGAUUACAAACCUCCAGAGGAGUUCAUAGUCAACAACUUACAGCCCCUCGUUGACUUCGAUGUGACGGGAUCGACGGAGCUCUGGCUCAUCCAGUGCCCUAUGAGCCACGUACGUUUCGGACGAUUGAAAUAUGUAAAGCGUUUAAUGUUUUCUGAAACUGAAGGGUGUUUUGGUCUUUUUCAGGUUCCGGAGAUUGAAGGGAAGGAGCUUAAGGUUAAGCUUGGUGAAGAUGGAGUCUUGGGACGUUUCGAGGAUUCUUCUGGUAAUAAAAGUUUUGAUCUUUUUUUUUUUUAAACAGGCUUCUUGAUUUUUUUUUUAUUGAUUAGGUAAAGAGGUUGAACUUGUUAGCUUUUCUUCUCAAGAAGGUGAUGCAACUGUGAUGUAAUCUAUGGUUUUGGCAUCUUCUUCACCAUACACGUCACCAAGCUUAAAUGCCUCAUCGUAGACAUGAAUGAUUGGAUCCACAUCUUCCACCACGUGAAGACCAAUUUCAACAACGUUCUCUUGACCAUGAUUGUCGUUGACUAUGUCUUCCACUUGAAUCAGACUUUCAUCAUCAUAAACAUCAUACACUGGAUCAUCAUGAAUUUCUCUGAACUUCUCGUGUAAAAAUUCAGGUCAAACAAACGAAUUUUUGUCCGUAGGAUAGUAAAAACACCCAAACAACAUGGCAUAUAACAGAAUCGAACUUUGAUUGAAAAACCAAAGUGCUGGCUCUGAUACCAGCUGAUAUACCGGAAGCUUUAUAGGAUAGAAUUAGAAUUCUCCGUCAAGUUCUUACCAAUCUUUCAUCUAGAGACAACGACUAGCAUCUUAGUACUUGUUUUGAAAUGAGCUGAAUUCUACCUCAUGGUGCCAAUUUGACAGCUUGAAUAUUUCUUUAUACCACAUAGACAAUUUCAACAGUUACAUGUAUUACAACUUGACAAGUGAAAAAUAAAUAUAAUACAAACCAACUUAAUGCAUAAUAAUCUUUAAAACAACCAACAAUUUAUACCAACUAGAACAUGUCAAUUAGUAUUAUUUUUUAUCACCAGCUCUCCUUUCAAUGACGGGUAACAAUACAACAUUUUUCUGUCAUCCUCAUAAAAUUCAAGCAUUAGUUUAUCUUGGCAACGCCUUCCACAGCCAUUGCAGAUGGGUCGAGUGAGACGAUUGUUCGGGAUUAUAUUAAUUUUUUCAUCAUCUAACAAGAGAUUUUGAGCAGGCUUGACAUAGGGUGCACAUUUUCCUAGUAUACAUUGGAUAUGGAAAACGGUCCCACAUUCAUGACAUGUAUAAAGCCAUGUGGUUGAAUCCAUAAUUUCCUCACAAAUCUCACACCAAUUGAGACUUUCAUUCUCUUCGUAAGAAAGGGUGAGGAAAUGCUCAUCAUGCUCAUAUCUCACUUUAUAUGGGAGUGUAGCACAAUAGAAGCACAAAAAGAAUCUGCAUUCAAUACAAUUCAAAGUUUGAACUUUCUGUUUUUUGCAGAUUGAACAGUCUAGAUUUUCCAAGUUCAUUGCUUAAGAACAGGGAUGUGGGUGGCAUUGCUGGACAAAUGGCUCAGAUAUUGCAGCACAUCGCACGUCUAUACUUAUAGACUCAUCUCCUAUACACACAUAUCUGAAACCAUACAAACAACGAUGACAAUAUUCACACAAGAAAAUAUUUUUGGUGUCACUCACUUGUAGAAUAAAAGGAUUGGGAUGUGCUAUAUGUUGUUUUGUCCGGGGAAGCUUUGCACAUGCUUCAUGGAGUACAAAAUCACAGUUGGAUUUCAUACAUUCGUAAACACCACCUCCGUAGAAUGGAAGUAGGCAUGCUUGACAUCGCUUUUCAUCAUCAUACAUAAUGUCAGUGGUCUUCCUUCCAAACUUCAUGUGAUGUGAAUGGCUGAAAUGUUGUAUAAUUCCAUCACCUAUCACUUCAAAAGAAUUCAAAUUUUCAUAGUCUUCUUCCAGUUCUUCCUCAAGUUAUUUUCCAUCCCACACAUCUUCCCGAGUUGCACACUUGGAAUGCACUGCGUAACUGCAAUCUUUCGUGCAAGAAUAACUUCCAUAGUCUUCGUCAACUUUUUGACGACAAACUCCACAAGACAAUAUUCUAGGAAGAGAAUAUGUGAAAGAGAGACGGUGGUCAUGGUGGGAUAUUCUUAUGACAAAUGGUAAGUAAAUACAAAUUUUAUGGACAACAAAAUCACAUUGAAGGCACACGUAGAUGAGAGGUUUGCUAUCAACAACCCCCCAAACAUCACAUGUCAAAUCAGCUUUUCUCGGAAAGAAGUUGAGGUCAUGCUCAUGCCUUUUUGGAAAGUUAAGGAACGAGGGUGUUGUCGCGCAAACAGGAUGCAAACUAAACUUACAAGUAAAACAGUAAUAAUAUAACUUUAUGUCUUCAGUAAAACAGUAAUAAUAUAACUCUACGUCUUCAUAUCUAGAACGACUUUCACAAAGAGAACAAUAUAUACCUGCAUAUUUACCUUGAACUAGUUGGAGAGGGUGUUUAGAGUGAUAAAGAGAUUUGAUUACAGGGGGAGACUCGACACAUUCUUUGUGGAAUGAUACUUCACAUUGGUGGCAAAAGUAAUAGGUUGUACCAAUUCCUUUAAAUGUACAAGCUUGACACAAAGACUCAUCUCCUGAUUCUUUGUUAUUGCACCAAUAAAGAGGGUAAAGGCGGUUGAAAUUGUAGAAACGGCGUUUAUAAUACUCGUGUGCGCCAUUUUGAAAAUAAGGCUCGUUGAUAUUAGCAAUACCAGAAUUAUUAUUCACAAGAAGUAACUGACACCGAUAUUUAGGGCAAACGAGUCAAUGAAUUUGACGACGCUUAAAGGAAUCCAUGGCUACAUAAAAGAUGUUUUGACGGUUAUAUAUGCUAAGAGUUUUGAGUUUAGUUUUUUCUUUUUUUUUGUUAAAGGUUUUGAGUUAUUGUUGUGAUUUCUGACUAUGUAUAUAUACAAAAUAUAUAAAAGUUCAACUACUCGAUAUUCUUUUCUUUUUCAUCACUUGGCAGAAUUUCACGGCAAAUAUUGCAAUCUAUGCACGCUUUAAAUGCUCAAGCAAAGUAUUAAAUUAUAUUUUUUUUUAACAAAGCAAACAAACAAACAAAACAAAGUAAAACUAGAUUUUUAUUUGUGCUUAUUUUACAUUUUAAUUUUCUUAUAAAAAAUACAUCAAAUGUUCUGUUUGACAUGUAAAAUAAAAAAUAUAUUCCAUUUAAACCAUCUCUUUAGAAAUUAUUCCAUUGAAAAUCUGUCUUAUUCAAACUCAUCUCAUUUAGACCAUGUCUCAUUUAAGAACCAUCUCAUAAAUUUGUAGAUAUGUUUUUAUAUUAAAUUUUGAAAGUUAUAUAUAAUAGUAUACGGAUCCCUCGGGUCGGAGGGGUUUUUGUUCUUUGAAAAUAAUUUAAACCGACAAAAAGGUAAUUUAUUUCUAAUUAAUAGAUGUGUAUCCGUAAUCUCUUAACUGAAAUCGUUAUUAACCAAAUCUUUUUAAUAAUAAAUAAAUAAAUAAAGAAUAUUUGAAAUUUAUAGAAUAUUUGAUAUUCAUGGAAUCAUGUUUAACGAUUGCAAGCGUUUUCCAUGUUUAUAGAAUAUUCAAAAUCUGUCGGAAAAAAAAAGAAUAUUGAAAAUCUAUUAAUCAGGUAACAUGUUGAAAGAAUAUGACACUGUUAAACUCUUAGAAACUUUUACCCCACUAACUACGGCAAUGUACAUAACUUGCUACGGCAAUGUACAUAACUUGCGUGGAAAGUUGUCAAAUAUGACCUAAAUUUUAUUUUAAAUGUAAAAAUAUAUCUUAAAUUUAAUUAAAUGUAAAAGUAACUUAAAAUAUUAGUGAAAUUACAAUCAUUUUUUAUGACCAAACAAAAAAAAUAUUUAUGUACUUUUGCAAAUAUAACCCCGUAAAAUUUUUUAUGGUUGGUAAAGUCUUCUGUUCUCAUAUAAUUGAUCUUAAAAAUAAAUUUAUAUUUGUAAAGUCUUCUGUUCUCAUAUAAUUGAUCUUAAAAUCAUGUAACUGUAAAUAUUUCUAAAAUGAUAUAAAUUUGUAUUUACUAAAUUUGAAUUAUUUUCAAUAUAGAUUAGUAAAUAUAGUUUAUAAAUCAUGAAUGUCUUUGAUUAUGGUUUGGUAACAUAUGUCAUAUAUAUAUAUUAAAAGAGAAGUAUUACAACAUUUUAGCUAUGACACGUUUUAUCACUAAAAUGUUACUUAAAGACUUUAGAGAAAUAUGUUGGUUAAUUAAAUAUAUAUUAUAGUUCUCAUUAAACUCAUCAUAAAAUUAAUUAAUAAUGUGCCAUUAAUGUGAUCAACGGUUUUUAAAAAAAAUUAUUAUAAAAAUACAAAUGAUCAUAAAACUAUAUGAUUAUAAACUCUCAUUUAAUAUAUAUUCAAAACAAUAUAUAUAAGUAUAUAACAUAUAAAAAUACACAAAUACUUUAAUUUCAAAAUUUGUAUUAAAUAAGAAUUGAGAACUUAAAUUUUUAAUUUUGAAAUUUACAAUGAAUUUUUAAGAACGAUUAUAAAUUUUUAAGAACUAUUAAAAGUAUCACAUUGAAAAUUUUGUUAUCACAUGAUUACAAAUUUUGUUAUAUAACCAUAAAAACAAUAUGAUUAAUAUGUCUCAUUUAAUAGAUAUACAUAUUAAAUAUAUUACAUAUCUAUGUUAAUAUCAUUUAAAUUUAAUUAAUCCAUACAAAAUAUAUAAAAGUGACUGUUUAAAUUUAUUUACCACACAAUAAUUGCAAAUAAACAAAAGUAGUUCCUUUGAUGUGUUUACGCCAAUUUAAUUAUAUAUGUAAUAGUUAAUUGUUUUCAAUUAUUUAAUAUACAAUUAUUAUUUUGUUAGUUUUAUAAGUAAAAAAUGCAAAAUAAGUAAUAAUAAAUAAAAUAAUUUUUAUAUACAACGCUCAUUCCGCGCAAGGCGCAGAUCUUAAACUAGUGUUGUUGUAUUCUUUUGUAUUACAGGAUUAGAUUUUAGAAUCUUAAUUUUUCAAAAGAAAAUUCAACUAGACAUAUAUGUGUUUAGUUUUUCAUAUAUUAAACAUUUCAAAGGUUGAUCAUAUGUUAAGUAAUUGAUAUUAUUGAAGUUAUUGAUACAACAUACCAAAAAAUAUUUUUACCAUUUCUACCCACUCAUAGCAAAACAUAACAACACCAAAACUUAGUCAAUUUUACUAAAAUUAAAGGAAACGACUUCUCAAAAAAACUUAGCUAAAUCUACAAAAGAUAAAACAUUACUUAGGUUCAAACAUAUAACAUUUUUACUAAAAGUCUUCUGGAAAAUCUUUCGGAAAGUCUUUAGAAGACUUCACGCGAAUUAAGUUAGAAAUUCAAAUAAACGAAAAAAUUAAAAUUUAAUCGAAAACUUAAAUUUUAAAUAAAAUUUAAAACUUAAAAUCUCAUGAAAGUUAAAAAAUUUCAACUAAAAUUAUUUGUUUUAAUAAAUUUAAGAGGCUUAGAAAAAAAUAUUUGAGAACCUAUGUUUUAUAUAACUUUUUUCAAAAAAUUUGGGGUCAUGUUGCUAAUGUUUCAAAAUACGUUCAGGAUGCUUCCUUUAUGAGACUUAUAUCAUUUAUCGGCUGAUUUAAGGCCCAAUCUUCUCAGCCCAAAUCAUCCAGGUAUUACAGUAGAUCAGUUAACGUCGUCGUUUUGAGUGAACGGUUUUAUAAAUUGAGAAGGGUUUUAGGUCAUCGAAAAUCGCCGGUAACGAUUCUCUCUCCUCUCCGCCAUCAACGGAGCAAUGGAUUACAAACCUCCAGAGGAGUUCAUAGUCAACAACUUACAGCCCCUCGCUGACUUCGAUGUGACGGGAUCGACGGAGCUCUGGCUCAUCCAGUGCCCUAUGAGCCACGUACGAUUGAAAUAUGUAAAGG